rnacentral:sRNA from 1 species
CAGCGCUUCGAAAGAAAACCUCGGCUGUA